GCACCAACCAAUGCCCUCACGGUGCCAUGUGCCAGAAGUUCAAGUACGUCUUCCCGACUCCCGCCGACCUCUGCGAGAAGGUUUGGUCCCAUUCCUACAAAUACAGCACGGAGCGCCGGGGCAGCGGGAGAUGCAUCCAGAUGUGGUUCGACCCCAUAGAGGGCAACCCCAAUGUGGCCGUGGCACAGUACUACGCCCUCGGCCCCGCUGCCGACCCCCAUCCUACGCCUCUCGUCCUGCUGGCUCCGUUGGCCCUUGUCCUGCUGGGGGUCACGCCGUGGGGAUGAGGUUGGGGGGGUCCCGGCGCUGCUGUAUGGGGAAUAAAAGUUGGGGCCGUACGGAUGGGUCUGUAGGGAUGGGGGUCUGAGGGUGACUGCUUUGUGGGGUGGGGGGUCUUCUUGUGUCAGCCUAUAGGUCCCGGUCAGCAAUGAGGGGCUCAUAGCCCACGUGGGAACAUCAUGGCCCCAUCAUGGCAGCCCGUGUCCCUGUGGGAUUACACACCCACGGGGACCCAAUGGGCACAUCCUACAGCCCAAUACGUCACACCCUAUGGUCUCCAUGGUCACAUCCUACAGUCAAAUGGGUCACACCCUAUGGGUCCCCAUGGGGCACAUCCCACACCCCUAUGGGUCCCCAUGGGGCACAUCCCACACCCCUAUGGGUCCCCAUGGGGCACAUCCUACAGCUUAAUGUGUCACACUCUAUGGGUCCCCAUGGGGCAUAUCCUACACCCAAUGGGUCACACCCUAUGGUCUCCAUGGGCCAUAUCCUACAGCCCUACAGGUCCCUGUGGGUCACAUCUUGGUGGUCCCCAUGGGUCACAUCCUAUAACCCAAUGGGAUCCCUUGGGUCACAUUCUACAGCUCAGCGGUUUCCCAUGGAUGACACCAGACAUCCCAAUGUGUGACAGCCUGUGGGUCCCCGCGGGUCACAUCCCAUAACUCCGUGUGUCAAACGUACCCUAUGGAUCCCUAUGGGUCAUGUCCUACAGCCCGAUGGGUCUCCAUGGGUCACAUCCUACACCCAAAUGAGUCACACGUCUUGUCCCUAUGGGGCCUCUCAGUCCCACCCUACAUCCCAGUGGGUUCCUGUGGGUCACAUCCUACAGCGCAGUGGUUCCCCAUGGGUCCCACCUCGGGUCCGCAUGGGUCCCACCCUACAUCCUAAAGGCUCACAUCCUAAAGCUGUGCCAAAGUGUGCCGUGCUGAGCUGUGCUGUGUUAAACCACGUCUCAGAACGUGCCGUGCUGAACCAGGCUGAACCAGGCUGAACCAGGCCAACGUGUGCUGUGCUGAAUGGUGCUGAGCCGUGCUGUGCUGAGCUGUGCCAUGCCAUACUGAGCUGUGCUGAGCCGUGCUGAGCCAUUCCAUGCUGUGCUGAGCUGUGCCAUGCCAUACUGAGCUGUG
rnacentral:lncRNA from 1 species